ACUGAACGCUGGCGGCAUGCCUUACACAUGCAAGUCGAACGGCAGCACGGGUGCUUGCACCUGGUGGCGAGUGGCGAACGGGUGAGUAAUACAUCGGAACGUACCUUAUCGUGGGGGAUAACGCAGCGAAAGCUGUGCUAAUACCGCAUACGCCCUGAGGGGGAAAGCGGGGGAUCGAGAAACCUCGCGCGAUUAGAGCGGCCGAUGCCUGAUUAGCUUGUUGGUGGGGUAAAAGCCCACCAAGGCGACGAUCAGUAGCUGGUUUGAGAGGACGAUCAGCCACACUGGGACUGCGACACGGCCCAGGAUCCUACGGGAGGCAGCAGUGGGGAAUUUUGGACAAUGGGGGCAACCCUGAUCCAGCAAUGCCGCGUGAGUGAAGAAGGCCUUCGGGUUGUAAAGCUCUUUUGUCAGGGAAGAAACACCGGCUCUAACACAGUCCGGGAAUGACGGUACCUGAAGAAUAAGCACCGGCUAACUACGUGCCAGCCGCCGCAGUAA
rnacentral:rRNA from 1 species